CAAUAGCGUAUAUUUAAGUUGUUGCAGUUAAAAAGCUCGUAGUUGGAUUUCGGAUGGGAUUUGCCGGUCCGUCGUUACGAUGUGCACUGGCCAGUCCUAUCUUGUUGUCGGGGACUAGCUCCUUGGAUUCACUUCCUGGGACUAGGAGCUGACGAGGUUACUUUGAGUAAAUUAGAGUGUUCAAAGCAAGCCUACGCUCUGAAUACAUUAGCAUGGAAUAACACGAUAGGACUCUGGCCUAUCUUGUUGGUCUGUGAGACCAGAGUAAUGAUUAAGAGGGACAGUCGGGGACAUUCGUAUUUCAUUGUCAGAGGUGAAAUUCUUGGAUUUAUGAAAGACGAACUUCUGCGAAAGCAUUUGUCAAGGAUGUUUUCAUUA
rnacentral:rRNA from 1 species